AACGCUAGCUACAGGCUUAACACAUGCAAGUCGAGGGGUAACAAGAGGAAAGCUUGCUUUUCUUGUUGACGACCGGCGCACGGGUGAGUAACGCGUAUCCAACCUGCCUAUAACUAGGGAAUAACCUUGCGAAAGUAAGACUAAUACCCUAUGAUUUCCUUUGAUGACAUCAGAUUAGGAAUGAAGAUUUAUCGGUUAUAGAUGGGGAUGCGUCUGAUUAGCUUGUUGGCGGGGUAACGGCCCACCAAGGCAACGAUCAGUAGGGGUUCUGAGAGGAAGGUCCCCCACAUUGGAACUGAGACACGGUCCAAACUCCUACGGGAGGCAGCAGUGAGGAAUAUUGGUCAAUGGGCGGAAGCCUGAACCAGCCAAGUAGCGUGCAGGAUGACGGCCCUAUGGGUUGUAAACUGCUUUUAUACAGGAAUAAAGUUAGCCACGUGUGGUUAUUUGUAGGUACUGUAUGAAUAAGGACCGGCUAAUUCCGUGCCAGCAGCCGCGGUAAUACGGAAGGUCCAGGCGUUAUCCGGAUUUAUUGGGUUUAAAGGGAGCGUAGACGGGAGAUUAAGUCAGUUGUGAAAGGCUGCGGCUCAACCGCAGCACUGCAGUUGAUACUGGUUUCCUUGAGUUCGGUUGAGGUGUAUGGAAUUCGUGGUGUAGCGGUGAAAUGCUUAGAUAUCACGAAGAACUCCGAUUG
rnacentral:rRNA from 1 species